rnacentral:rRNA from 1 species
GACGAACGCUGGCGGCGUGCCUAAUACAUGCAAGUAGAACGCUGAAGCGAGGAGCUUGCUCUUCUUGGAUGAGUUGCGAACGGGUGAGUAACGCGUAGGUAACCUGCCUGGUAGCGGGGGAUAACUAUUGGAAACGAUAGCUAAUACCGCAUAAUAGUAGUUGUUGCAUGACAUUUGCUUAAAAGGUGCAAUUGCAUCACUACCAGAUGGACCUGCGUUGUAUUAGCUAGUUGGUGAGGUAACGGCUCACCAAGGCAACGUUACAUAGCCGACCUGCGAGGGUGAUCGGCCGCACUGGGACGGAGAAGCGGCCCAGACUUCUACGGAAGGUGGCAGUAGGGAAUCUGGCGCAAAGGACGGAAGACUGACCGAGCAACGCCGCGACAGUGAAGAAGGAUACCGGGUCGGAAAGAUCGGUUGUAAGAGAAGAACGAGUGUGAGAGUAGAAAGUUCACACUGUGACGGUAUCUGAACAGAAAGGGACGGCUAACUACGUG